GACGAACGCUGGCGGCGUGCUUAACACAUGCAAGUCGAACGGAAAGGCCCUGCUUGCAGGGUACUCGAGUGGCGAACGGGUGAGUAACACGUGGGUGAUCUGCCCUGCACUUCGGGAUAAGCCUGGGAAACUGGGUCUAAUACCGGAUAGGAGCCAUUUCUAGUGUGAUGGUUGGAAAGUUUUUUCGGUGUAGGAUGAGCUCGCGGCCUAUCAGCUUGUUGGUGGGGUAAUGGCCUACCAAGGCGGCGACGGGUAGCCGGCCUGAGAGGGUGGACGGCCACAUUGGGACUGAGAUACGGCCCAGACUCCUACGGGAGGCAGCAGUGGGGAAUAUUGCACAAUGGGCGCAAGCCUGAUGCAGCGACGCCGCGUGGGGGAUGACGGCCUUCGGGUUGUAAACUCCUUUCGCUAGGGACGAAGCUUUUUGUGACGGUACCUAGAUAAGAAGCACCGGCUAACUACGUG
rnacentral:rRNA from 1 species